GUGGGGGGGCGCUGUGGGGCGUGGGGGGAGAACUAAAUCAAGGGAUUGGCUUGGUUUUUUUCACAAGUUUCUUUUCUCCAAAAUCAGAUAACAGCAAAUUGUUUCAUCUUUUUUGUUGGAAGGUGAAACAAAAGACCUAUUGUUGAUGAUUAAAUACAGCAAGAGGAGAUUGGCAUUAAUUUGAACAAAGGAGACAAGACUGGUUUAUGCAGGCGUGAAAGUAGUUUUGUCUGCAGUGGAGGAGAGAUCAUGUGUCCAAAAGAUGAGUGAGAAUUUUUUGGAAGGUGAAAAACAAGAUCUAUUGUUGAUGAUCAAAUACAGCAGAUGGAGCUUGUCAUUAAUUUAAACAAAGACAAUAAACUCAUUUUUGCAUGCACGAGAGUUGUUUUGGCUGCAUAGGAGAGACCAUGGGUUCAAAAGAUGAGUAAGAAUUCAUUGUGAGAGUUAAUGGCUCCUGUCAUUUUUUGGCUGGCUUGAAUGAAACAAAUAGGAUUUUCAGGCAGAGGACCUCCACUCUGUUCAUAUAGAUUUGUGAAUUAGGACUUAAGGGUUUAGUAUUGUGGUAAACCUUUUCAACCUUUUUUUUUUUUAAUCUAUUGCAGAUUUUAUGGAUACCUUAUUGUAAAUCACUUUUUAUUUCUUUGUAAUUGGGUGCCAAACCCUUAAUGCCUUGUAAUGACUUUAUUUAUUUAUAAAGGAAUUUUUAAGAAGAAAAAUGCCUCUCUCUAGCCAAUAUGCACAUCCAUCAACGUUUACUCAACACUGACCCAUCUCAAACUAAAUUUCAUUACAAGAACUUAACCCUCUCCACUGAGACUCAUUAAGCGUCUCACCUCUCCAUUAAGCCUCUCAAUCUCACCUUUAGUUGGUUAAUGUCAAUCAAAUAAAAUAUGAAAUACAUUCACACAACUCAUUAACUGUCACCCUAUAAUGACAAAAUGAAAAUGAUAAAUUGAUCAACAAAUCUGAAUGUGAAGAGAAUAGCAUAGGCAGAUCACUUAAGCAAUUAAAUAUUGAAUCAAAUCAAUUAUUCACUAAAAGUACAAGAAAUCAAAACAGAAUAUGAAAACCAUGAGUGGAAGGUCUCACAUUGGACAAGGCCAGUCAUUA
rnacentral:misc_RNA from 1 species